UGGGGAAUAUUGCACAAUGGGCGCAAGCCUGAUGCAGCCAUGCCGCGUGUAUGAAGAAGGCCUUCGGGUUGUAAAGUACUUUCAGCGAGGAGGAAGGCGGUAAGGUUAAUAACCUUAUCGAUUGACGUUACUCGCAGAAGAAGCACCGGCUAACUCCGUGCCAGCAGCCGCGGUAAUACGGAGGGAGCAAGCGUUAAUCGGAAUUACUGGGCGUAAAGCGCACGCAGGCGGUCUGUCAAGUCGGAUGUGAAAUCCCCGGGCUCAACCUGGGAACUGCAUUCGAAACUGGCAGGCUAGAGUCUUGUAGAGGGGGGUAGAAUUCCAGGUGUAGCGGUGAAAUGCGUAGAGAUCUGGAGGAAUACCGGUGGCGAAGGCGGCCCCCUGGACAAAGACUGACGCUCAGGUGCGAAAGCGUGGGGAGCAAACA
rnacentral:rRNA from 1 species